UGACGGCUGAACUGGAUAAAUUUAUCCUGACCAUUUGGAAUAGCAGGAGAUAGUUAAAGAUUUGGAAACAGGGUCAGCUAAACACUGACAGUGCUAAAUUAAUCUCGACCAUUUGGAAUGGUACGAAGAAAUUAAAAACAAUUGAAUUCGGAUCCAGUGAAAAGCCAUGGAUUGUAAAACGUUAACGUCAUUAUUAUAUUGUUGUAAGAAUAAAGUAUAAGAAUUUUAAUACUGUGUAUAGAUUAAAUUGGUUGUGAAUAUAGUAUUGAUAAGUGUGAUAAAUAUAUUAAUUGUGACAAGUGAAUUAAGAUGGGUAAUCACUUAGAUAACACCAAGAGUCCUAGCAGCCCAUUGCAGAUUUUAUGUAACAAACAAUGGCCUCUGGGGGGUCCUAGAAAUCCAGAUCUGGUAA